GGUACCCCAAAGAAUGUCUUCCUUUUUUACAGAAUUUGGUUAAUAAGUGAAAGAGGCAAGGGUUCUUUUCCUGUGGAUGUGUCUGUCUACCUGGCAGUUUGGACGGAACAUCGGUGAGGGCAGGGGUCCAUGUGUAUGAAUCAUAGGAGCUGCCGAGGACCUCUCUGAGCUAUGAACCCGAGAAAAAUUCAAGUUAAAGUCCAUGUGGGAUGAGAGUGUAAUGCGUCAUUCUCAACAGCAGGUGGCACUCUCCCACCGCAAAUGAAUUGUCCCAGGCUGACGAUCACGUGGUCUAGUCAAGCGCUUCCCAAAGCAGAUUCAUUGAUUAAAGAGCCAGAGAGAAGAAAUAA